rnacentral:lncRNA from 1 species
UUAUAAUUAGAAAAAAGAGAAUAGCCUGCUCGUGCUAACAUAAAAAAGGCAAACGUGCACCACCACAUUGUUUAUUGGCACAAGUCUCAAGAUUUGACAAACACUUUUUUUAACAUAGUACAAUCGAAGUCGUUUACAUACACGAGCGUACACUCAUCCCUAUAAACGCACGAAAACGUCUUCUUUCACCGAAAGCACAUCGUCGAAAGACCUGAAAUAAAUUCAAAAAAAUGCAAGCACCAACAUCAAGUCUGAAACUUGAAUUCUCGUGAAUAGGGCCGGGCCGGUAAAAUCCGGGACCCUGCGCGGAACGAAAAAAUGAGGCCCUAUCUCACCUAGUUUUGGGUCUUGCACGAAUGAACUCGGAUCGAUCCGACGAGACGACGAGUCUCGGCGGCUGCCUGAAUCAGAUCGCGGGAUCGAUCUGAUCAACAGACGAAGUAAUCAGUCCGCAAACGGAGAGCCGCGAGCCGACGAGAUGAUCGAUCUGAUGAAGUAAUCAAUGGCGAUCCCGUUUUUUGGCGGGACGCGAGCACAACCUGUAGACGGAGAUAGCGAUUGGUGAAGUAAUCAAUAGCCGAUCGCGAUCAAUAGCGAUCCCAUUUUUUGGCAAUUGCGAGCACAUCCUGCAGACGGAGUCGGCGUUUAGGGAAUAGCGAUCCCAUUUUUUUUCUUACAUCGCCUGAUCGAUUCGAUCAAUCGAUCACUCAGCACCAGAGCCGAUCGCGAUCGAUGACUUGCGCCUACAGGCCCACU